rfam:Candidatus Thiomargarita nelsonii contig_1444, whole genome shotgun sequence.
AGGAGCCGGAUGAAGCAAAAGUUUCAAGUCCGGUUUUGCAGACCAGUCUCAAUGGUGACAUUAGGGCUGAGUCUAAC